AUGACCUCCACCAUGGCCUGGUCCCCGCUCCUCCUCAGCCUCCUCGCUCACUGCACAGGGUCCUGGGCCCAGUCUGUGCUGACUCAGCCGGCUUCCGUGUCUAAGGCCCUGAAUCAGACGGUCACCAUCUCCUGCACUGGAAGCAGCUCCAACAUUGGUAGUAAUUCUGUGAGCUGGUACCAACAGGAAAAGCCAGGAAAAGCCCCCAGAGCCAUCAUCUAUGGUAAUAGCAAUCGACCCUCAGGGGUCCUGGAUCGAUUCUCUGGCUCCAAGACUGGCAGCUCAGCCACCCUGACCAUCACUGGGCUCCAGGCGGAGGACGAAGCUGAGUAUUACUGUGCAUCGUGGGAUGAUAGUCUCAGUGCUCACACAGUGCUCCCGGCCUGUGGGGAAGUGAGACAAAAACCUGCUGUCCCUCAGCAACGGGUCUCCCUGUGCUGCUCCCCCUCCUUGGCCAAGUCAGCUCCUUCCUUUGUUUGGUCUAAACUGUAG